rnacentral:rRNA from 1 species
GAUUUCUGGUUCGGCGCACUUGGCCCGCCUCGGUUACGGGGUUGUGUGCCGGUGUGCGCCAUCCAUCCUUCGAGUGAACACCUCUGCCCUUCACUGGGUUGGAGGUGCUAUCUCGAUCUUUUACUUUGAAAAAAUUAGAGUGUUUAAAGCAGGCUUGCGCUAUGAAUACAUUAGCAUGGAAUAAUAAUUUAGGACUUCGGUUCUAUUUUGUUGGUUUCUAGGACUGAAGUAAUGAUUGAUAGGGAUAGUUGGGGGUGCUAGUAUUCAGCGGCCAGAGGUGAAAUUCUCGGAUUCGCUGAAGACUAACUUAUGCGAAAGCAUU